UAUUGGGCGUAAAGAGCUCGUAGGUGGUUCGUCACGUCGGAUGUGAAACUCUGGGGCUUAACCCCAGACCUGCAUUCGAUACGGGCGAGCUUGAGUAUGGUAGGGGAGUCUGGAAUUCCUGGUGUAGCGGUGGAAUGCGCAGAUAUCAGGAGGAACACCAAUGGCGAACGCAGGACUCUGGGCCAUUACUGACACUGAGGAGCGAAAGCGUGGGGAGCGAACAGGAUUAGAUACCCUGGUAGUCCACGCCGUAAACGGUGGGCACUAGUUGUGGGGACCUUCCACGGUCUCUGCGACGCAGCUAACGCAUUAAGUGCCCCGCCUGGGGAGUACGAUCGCAAGAUUAAAACUCAGAGGAAUUGACGGGGCCCCGCACAAGCAGCGGAGCAUGCGGCUUAGUUCGACGCAGCGCGAAGAACCUUACCAAGGCUUGACAUAUACAGGAAUAUGGCAGAGAUGUCAUAGCCGCAAGGUCUGUAUACAGGUGGUGCAUGGUUGUCGUCAGCUCGUGUCGUGAGAUGUUGGGUUAAGUCCCGCAACGAGCGCAACCCUCGUUCUGUGUUGCCAGCAUUAAGUUGGGGACUCACAGGAGACUGCCGGGGUUAACUCGGAGGAAGGUGGGGAUGACGUCAAAUCAUCAUGCCCUUUAUGUCUUGGGCUGCACGCAUGCUACAAUGGCUGGUACAAAGGGCUGCGAGACCGUCAAGGUGGAGCGAAUCCGAUAAAGCCAGUCUCAGUUCGGAUUGGGGUCUGCAACUCGACCCCAUGAAGUCGGAGUUGCUAGUAAUCGU
rnacentral:rRNA from 1 species